UACGUAGGGUGCGAGCGUUGUCCGGAAUUAUUGGGCGUAAAGGGCUCGUAGGCGGUUUGUCGCGUCGGGAGUGAAAUCCAUUGGCUUAACGUGGUGCUUGCUUUCGAUACGGGCAGACUGGAGGUAUGCAGGGGAGAACGGAAUUCCUGGUGUAGCGGUGAAAUGCGCAGAUAUCAGGAGGAACACCGGUGGCGAAGGCGGUUCUCUGGGCAUGUCCUGACGCUGAGGAGCGAAAGUGUGGGGAGCGAACAGG
rnacentral:rRNA from 1 species